AGCUCCAAUAGCGUAUAUUAAAGUUGUUGCAGUUAAAACGCUCGUAGUUGAACUUCUGUACAAAUUUACGGCUUCAGCUUCUCUCGUAGUUGUUGUCAAGCCUGUAUUUUUGUGCAUCCUCAUGAUGUUUACGUACUUUACCUCGUGUACUGUGCGAUCAAAUAAAUGUCAUGACGUUUACUUUGAGAAAAUUAGAGUGUUUCAAGCAGGUUAUUUCUGCCUUGAAUACUUCAGCAUGGAAUAAUAAGAUAAGACUUUAGUUUUAUGUUAUUGGUUCAAAAGCUAAAGUAAUGAUUAAUAGGGACAGUUGGGGGCAUUUGUACUUACCUGUCAGAGGUGAAAUUCUAUGAUUAGGGAAGGACAAACAACUGCGAAAGCAUUUGCCAAAGAUGUUCUCA
rnacentral:rRNA from 1 species